GCUCUGCUCUCCCAGGCACUACUGAGCGCGCUCGCGGUCGCCAGGAGCGGAUUGGGCCCCCGCCGCGCGCAAGCCUUGGUGACAGGGGAUGGCGCGGAGCUGCCUCUCCGGGAAAGUUGGAUCUGUGCGCCCAGACAUGGAAAAGGGAUUAGGACACCGGCAGAUCUUGCCCUCACAGAGCGGAGGUGGGGGCCUUGGAAGGGGCACACCGCCCGUAGGCGCGAAAUCCAAGAAGAAAAUGACACUCAUCAGCCAGCCUCGCGCGGGGAGAAAGGGCGGGGUGGGGGGUAGUGGCACCCUGCCCGUCCUCUCCCACCCCCACAGUCCGGGCCCACAGUCCAGGAGUCACAAGGGAUGUGAAUCCCCAGGCAUAAUGUGAACCCCCAACAAACCCAAGGCCUCAGAAUGCGCCUCACCUCUCCCUCCCCACCAGCAGAAACAUCCUCCCACUCUCCCAACCCCUGCUCCAGCCACGCCAACCCUUUAACCUUGUCCCAGAAUGUCUAAACUGUAUCUGCCUCUGUGCCUGUGCACAUGAAGUUGCCUUGGCCCGGCGUUUGCUCCACAGCCUUCUGCCAAACUCCUACUGCUUGAUGGCUGGAAGCCUUCGCACCCUGGCGCUCUCCUCCCAGGUCAGCAGUCACUGGCCUUCCUGUGCAUCCAGCCCAGCUUUGAACAGUCCUGGGCCCCAACCCUUAUCUUUUUCCGAGUAAUUACAUGGUUGCAUGAUUGGCUUCACCGCCUCUGGAUCAGAUGAGCGCUACUAAUGAAGGAUACAAGUUGUAAAACUAGGUUUUAUGUGAACUCCAGUCAUCACAGUUUAGGUGCGGCUAGCGAUUUUACAGAUGCGGGGUUAGUAACUGGCCCAAAUCCAGGGCUUCCGGGAUGCUGUUUUCCUUUUUUGUUUCUUAGCAGGGAUGGCAGAUGUUUGUAGAACAGAUCCGUGUAAAAGUCAGUAUCCUAAGAGAUUAAAUUGUAAAGCAGGACAAGAUA
rnacentral:lncRNA from 1 species